UACGUAGGGUGCGAGCGUUGUCCGGAAUUAUUGGGCGUAAAGCGAGUGUAGGCGGGAUCGUGUGUCGGAUGUGAAAGCCCUCGGCUCAACCGAGGAAGUGCGUUCGAAACUGCGGUUCUUGAGUGUCGGAGAGGGUGGCGGAAUUCCCGGUGUAGAGGUGAAAUUCGUAGAUAUCGGGAGGAACACCAGUGGCGAAGGCGGCCACCUGGACGAACACUGACGCUGAGACUCGAAAGCGUGGGGAGCAAACAGG
rnacentral:rRNA from 1 species